rnacentral:lncRNA from 1 species
UAUAUAUAUAUAUAUAUAUAUAUAUAUAUAUAAGUAAGUGUAAUGCUUCAUCAAAUAAAUAAAAAAUCUGCAUGAUACCAUUGCCUGGUUGUAUUCCCCUUCUGCGAUAUCAAGACCUGAUGUUUUUGCAAGGCUUUAAUUGGUGAAAAAUACUUCAUGUUUUCUGUUGUAGGAAGCAGCUUUUUUCCAGGCAAAGACCUCGUGUACCAUGGCGUCCAGGAGGAUGGAAGUCCCAGGCAUGCAUGAGCUCCACAGAGUGAUGACAAAUGUUUGUUCAUCUGGGAAACUGCCUGAACUGGUAUAAGCCAAUCUCCAGGCACUGCCUUUCCCUGAUGUCCUGCUUCUUCUGUAACGGUCUGCAGAUGGGACAAAUGUGAGUUCCUGAACAUUUUUCACAUUUUAUGAGGCCAGGUGGGAGUAUGGUGCACCAAAUGUACCCAAUUGGGCCUGAACAGUUCAACACUUAGAAUUAAUACUGUUUUCUUUAUGUUUAUGCACAGUGAGUGGUUGGGUGAGGAUGAUUUUGACUGUUCAAAAGUCUGUGUUGACUAGCCUGUAAAACACAAAAUAUAACUGGAUAAAUGGAAUGAUAGACUCACAUAUGCAUGUUUUUUUUUGCUACAGGAAGUGCCUAUUACAAUGCAAAGAGAGACAGCUUAAGUAAGACACCGUGUAGAGCAAGGCUAUUGCACUUUCCCUGGAGCUCACAAGUUUUUAGUGAGAAGAGGAAGAAAAAAAAAGUUAGUUCUACAGUGUUUUGUCUCAAGUUUGCACAAUGCUAAUGCAAAUUCCGACCUACGCUAAGGCAAGGAAGUACAUGACCUUGCCCAAGCAGGGAAGAGAGCAUAGGAUCACAUCUCAAACCCUUGCUGGCCAAACACAAGAGCUCGGCAGUUUGUGUAGGAAAGCUCUUGCAUGCUUUCCAGUCCUUCCUGCUUGCUGUUGGUUUUCCAUUACUCUGCUUCUGGAUGGCCCUGAAAAACCACAAGAACUUCCUUUCUUGUAGCGUUUCAUCACUUUGGCCUCAAAAUGAAACUAACCAAAAUGAAAAACAGCCAGAUCAAAAACAAAUCUAAUAAACAAAUAAACAAACAAAACCA